GUGCCAGCAGCCGCGGUAAUACGUAGGGUGCGAGCGUUAAUCGGAAUUACUGGGCGUAAAGCGUGCGCAGGCGGUUCGUUGUGUCUGAUGUGAAAUCCCCGGGCUCAACCCGGGAACUGCAUUGGAAACUGGCGGACUUGAGUGCGGCAGAGGGGGGUGGAAUUCCGCGUGUAGCAGUGAAAUGCGUAGAGAUGCGGAGGAACACCGAUGGCGAAGGCAGCCCCCUGGGCCGACACUGACGCUCAGGCACGAAAGCGUGGGGAGCAAACAGGAUUAGAUACCCCCGUAGUCC
rnacentral:rRNA from 1 species